rnacentral:rRNA from 1 species
UACGAAGGGUGCAAGCGUUACUCGGAAUUACUGGGCGUAAAGCGUGCGCAGGCGGUUCGCUGUGUCCUGUGUGAAAGCCCCGGGCUUAACCUGGGAAUGGCAUGGGAAACUGGCGGGCUGGAGUGUGGCAGAGGGGGGUGGAAUUCCGCGUGUAGCAGUGAAAUGCGUAGAGAUGCGGAGGAACACCGAUGGCGAAGGCAGCCCCCUGGGCUAACACUGACGCUCAGGCACGAAAGCGUGGGGAGCAAACAGG